rnacentral:rRNA from 1 species
GAUGAACGCUGGCGGCGUGCCUAAUACAUGCAAGUCGAGCGAACGGACGAGAAGCUUGCUUUUCUGAUGUUAGCGGCGGACGGGUGAGUAACACGUGGAUAACCUACCUAUAAGACUGGGAUAACUUCGGGAAACCGGCGCUAAUACCGGAUAAUAUUUUGAACCGCAUGGUUCAAAAGUGAAAGACGGUCUUGCUGUCACUUAUAGAUGGAUCCGCGCUGCAUUAGCUAGUUGGUAAGGUAACGGCUUACCAAGGCAACGAUGCAUAGCCGACCUGAGAGGGGGAUCGGCCACACUGGAACUGAGACACGGUCCAGACUCCUACGGGAAGCAGCAGUAGGGAAUCUUCCGCAAUGGGCGAAAGCCUGACGGAGCAACGCCGCGUGAGUGAUGAAGGUCUUCGGAUCGUAAAACUCUGUUACUAGGGAAGAACAUAUGUGUAAGUAACUGUGCACAUCUUGACGGUACCUAAUCAGAAAGCCACGGCUAACUACGUG